GAUGAACGCUAGCGGCAGGCCUAAUACAUGCAAGUCGAACGGUGUCUUCGGACAUAGUGGCGCACGGGUGCGUAACACGUACGCAACCUACCUUACAUUGGGGGAUAGCCUUUCGAAAGGGAGAUUAAUACCGCAUAAGACAGUAGCUGGGCAUCCAGCAGCUGUUAAAGAUUUAUCGAUGUAAGCUGGGCAUGCGUCCAAUUAGCUAGUUGGUGAGGUAACGGCUCACCAAGGCAAUGAUUGGUAGGGGAACUGAGAGGUCAAUCCCCAACACUGGCACUGAGAUACGGGCCAGACUCCUACGGGAGGCAGCAGUAGGGAAUAUUGGGCAAUGGACGCAAGUCUGACCCAGCCAUGCCGCGUGCAGGAUGAAGGCGUUAUGCGUUGUAAACUGCUUUUAUACAGGAAGAAACGACUCUUGCGAGAGGCAUUGACGGUACUGUAUGAAUAAGCACCGGCUAACUCCGUGCCAGCAGCCGCAGUAACAC
rnacentral:rRNA from 1 species